CCUACGGGAGGCAGCAGUGGGGAAUAUUGCACAAUGGGGGAAACCCUGAUGCAGCAACGCCGCGUGAAGGAAGACGGUUUUCGGAUUGUAAACUUCUGUUCUUAGUGAAGAAUAAUGACGGUAGCUAAGGAGCAAGCCACGGCUAACUACGGGCCAGCAGCCGCGGUAAUACGUAGGUGGCAAGCGUUGUCCGGAAUUACUGUGUGUAAAGGGAGCGCAGGCGGGAAGCCAAGUCAGCUGUGAAAACUACGGGCUUAACUUGUAGACUGCAGUUGAAACUGGUUUUCUUUAGUGAUGUAGAGGUUGGCGGAAUUCCGAGUGUAGCGGUGAAAUGCGUAGAUAUUCGGAGGAACAUCGGUGGCGAAGGCGGCCAACUGGGCUUUAACUGACGCUGAGGCACGAAAGCGUGGGUAUCGAACAGGAUUAGAUACCCGAGUAGUC
rnacentral:rRNA from 1 species